rnacentral:rRNA from 1 species
AUUGAACGCUGGCGGCAGGCCUAACACAUGCAAGUCGAACGGUAACAGGAAGACGCUUGCUUCUUUGCUGACGAGUGGCGGACGGGUGAGUAAUGUCUGUGAAACUGCCUGAUGGAGGGGGAUAACUACUGGAAACGGUAGCUAAUACCGCAUAAUGUCGCAAGACCAAAGAGGGGGACCUUCGGGCCUCUUGCCAUCGGAUGUGCCCAGAUGGGAUUAGCUAGUAGGUGGGGUAACGGCUCACCUAGGCGACGAUCCCUAGCUGGUCUGAGAGGAUGACCAGCCACACUGGAACGGAGACACGGUCCAGACUCCUACGGGAGGCAGCAGUGGGGAAUAUUGCACAAUGGGCGCAAGCCUGAUGCAGCUAUGCCGCGUGUAUGAAGAAGGCCUUCGGGUUGUAAAGUACUUUCAGCGGGGAGGAAGGGAGUAAAGUUAAUACCUUUGCUCAUUGACGGUACCCGCAGAAGAAGCACCGGCUAACUCCGUG